rnacentral:misc_RNA from 1 species
GAGGAAGAGGGAUCAAUAAGGGAGGACAAUCCAACUCAAAUUAAUGGAGAAGGGGAGAUAGAUUUUUCAAAUUCACUCUUGGUUAUAUAUAUAGAUCCAGAACCUUUAUAGGUUGACAAUAGCACACAUGAGAAAGAUUUAGCUGCACAUGCCACACAAUGGAUCCAAGCGAACAUGAUAAAAUUAGGUCAACAAUUUGGUGUCGAUGUUAAAG